rnacentral:rRNA from 1 species
UCAGUCAUCUAAAUUCCUAAUAGUACCAGGUCCCAUCUGAUUUUGGAAGCUAAGUAGCAUUAACUCUGGUUAGUACUUAGUUGGGAGACUGCCAAUGAAUACCAGAUGCUGUAAGCU